rnacentral:tRNA from 1 species
GGGCGUGUGGUGGAAUUGGCAUACACGUACGCUUCAGGAGCGUAUAGGCGAAAGCCUGUGAGAGUUCAAAUCUCUCCACGCCCA